rnacentral:rRNA from 1 species
UACGAAGGGUGCAAGCGUUACUCGGAAUUACUGGGCGUAAAGCGUGCGUAGGCGGUUCGUUAAGUCCGUUGUGAAAGCCCCGGGCUCAACCUGGGAAUUGCAUUCGAGACUGAAUAGCUAGGGUACGGUAGAGGGAAGCGGAAUUUCCGGUGUAGCGGUGAAAUGCGUAGAUAUCGGAAGGAACAUCAGUGGCGAAAGCGGCUUCCUGGACCAGUACCGACGUUCAGGCACGAAAGCGUGGGGAGCAAACAGG